AACGAACGCUGGCGGCAUGCCUAACACAUGCAAGUCGAACGAGACCUUCGGGUCUAGUGGCGCACGGGUGCGUAACGCGUGGGAACCUGCCCUUAGGUUCGGAAUAACUCCCCGAAAGGGGUGCUAAUACCGGAUAAUGUCUUCGGACCAAAGAUUGAUCGCCUUUGGAUGGGCCCGCGUUGGUUUAGCUAGUUGGUAGGGUAAAAGCCUACCAAGGCGACGAUCCAUAGCUGGUCUGAGAGGAUGAUCAGCCACACUGGGACUGAGACACGGCCCAGACUCCUACGGGAGGCAGCAGUGGGGAAUAUUGGACAAUGGGCGAAAGCCUGAUCCAGCAAUGCCGCGUGAGUGAUGAAGGCCUUAGGGUUGUAAAGCUCUUUUACCCGGGAUGAUAAUGACAGUACCGGGAGAAUAAGCUCCGGCUAACUCCGUG
rnacentral:rRNA from 1 species